CUGUGAAUUUGUCCAAACGUGACCGCGUGUGCUGUGUACAGGUAGAAUAGAUAAAAGGUAUACCUUUUUUUUGUGUACCUCAUGGCUUCUGUCAGUGACCUGCAAGCUCGACGAGUUGAAAAUAAUAAUACACGCACUCUGUUGAACUCAGAAUGCGUUUAUGAAGCAGCAGAAGAUAAUUCAUCCCAGAUCAUUCUGGAGAACCCCGAUCCCGAUAUCGUUAAAACAAUCUCACAUUAUUUCGAUGCUGCUCUCAGUGGGCAGAAAUAUGUGUUAUCCCAUCCCGUCACAGACCAUGGCGCUGAGUCUUCAGCAGACAGUAGGGAUUCAGGGGACAGCCUGUUCAUAACUCAAGUGCCAGUGUCUGAGGUGGUGAGGUCUGUGAGAAGAUGCCACUCAAAGGAGAGGUCAGAGUUCACAUGUACCAUAGAAUCAGAGGAGGAGAGUGGGGACGAAGAUGGACCUGCCACUCCCCAAAGGAAGCAGCAGGUCUCACAGGCAAUGAAACAUCACAAGAGGAAAGCAGAGAAGCAUGGCCUGAAAAAGUACUCCUUUCCCUUUCUGGGGAGCGUUUACAGAAGUAAACCCCUAUCUAGUCGAGAGUGUGCUUACAGAAACACACACCUAUCACUAUUAAAUGGUGUGGCCUUCUCGACAGGAGGUGGAAUCUGAAGGUAGUGAUGAUGACAUCAGAGUGGUGGAAAAUAAACUUUUAAUGCUAUUCCUGAAAAAGAAAAAUAGUCAAACUUGGUGUUAUCCAUCAUCUGAAGCUGAAAAGCAAUUCAGAAACUUUUCAUCUGUAAGCAAAGACUCCACCGCCAAGACAAAGAAACAGAGCACAAAGAAAACACAACACCUCCCUCACGUUAAACAAACUCUUUCCUUGGUUUCCAAAAUGAUUAAAGACACACCAUCAAAGCAGAGUUUUGCUGGGUCACAGCGAAUCGUACCUGAGAAAUGUAACAUGGCAGAAGAAGAGACUAACCCAGAGUCAGUCAGUUGCGUUAGGAGAUGUUCAUCUGGUAGGGGUUUAGUCCGCAAUAAAACAGAAGAACCUGGUAUACAUUUAGCUGACAAUACAGACGGACAGGAAGAGAACGACAACAUGGACAUUUCAUUGACAGAAUGGAAGACAAUGCUGAAUAUCGGAUUUGUCAGUGAGGAAGUAGAGGGGAGUAGAAUAGACCAGGCAGUGGACAUAACGAGUUCACCUAUUAAUGAAGUGCAGGAAAGUGAAGGAAGCUGUUUGGAGAGGACCCAAGGCAGAGCCAUGACCCCCAGUGUGACUGGGCAGCGCCCUGAUCGUGACCAUCAGAACCAGACAAGAGAAACAGAGGCUGAUCCUGGAAUUAAAGGUCACAACCCCCCUUCAACAGAUCCAGCGCUCACAAAUGACUGUACAAAUGUUGAUGCUGGGGGAGACUAUGAACAGAAGGGAAAGAAGAGGAAGAAAAAGAACAGGAAAAGAGAGGGAGGAGAUGAUGAAAGUAUAGAGGACCGAGUUGGGCAGCCUCCAUGCCAAGAAGCUCCAGAUUAUCAGGAACUAGUCACCUGUGUGAGUACAAGCACCAUACAGGGAGGAGAGGCUACUGAGAUAACCCAGGAUAACAAGGCAGAGCAUUCUGUGUCCGUGUCUGGUGAAAUGAUUAUGCCACAGAAAAAGAAGAGAAAAAAGGAGAGGAGGAGGGAUUCACCAUGCCAUGUUGAUACAGAUAUAUGCCUAAGACGGGAAGAGAACCCCAAGAAGAAGCGGAGGAAGAGGAGGAUAUCUUCAACUGAAGAUGGCGCCGUUGUUCAACAACAAGAGGAUAAUAUUCAAAAAUCUCAUAUCUCCCUCAAGAGUUCUGUGUCUGAAUCCAUUGACACUGUGCCACCAAGAAAAAAGGGGAAGAAAGAUGGGUAUGUAGUAACUCCUUUGAGCACAGAGGAGAGAUGUCAAAAGGACAGCAUACCACCUGAAACAGAUGAGAUCACUAGCCCAAGAAAGAAGAAGAAAAAGCGAGAUGAGUCUAAAGACACUUGUUCUGUCAUACACCAGGAUACAGCAGCUCCACUGGAAAAAGAGAUUAUUGGCAUAUCUUUGGAGGGGUGUGAGAGUUCUGCUUUGACUCCAGAUGACACAGUUUCUCAGAGAAAAACUAAGAAAAAUAAGAAUUCCCUCACCAAACAUGAUCCUGAGGGAAGACUGAAAAAUGAUGCAACUAAAAUAUCUCAGAGGAUGAACGCAACUGUAAAAAAUUCUGCUGAAGUGAGACUUGAAGCUGAAAGUGCCUUUAUAUCCUCAGAGAGAAAGAGGAAAAAGACAAAGAGGAGGAAAUCCACUGAUUACGAAGUACCAGCGGUAGGACAUCAAGAUAAUGAUAACACUGCAAUGCUAAUUGAAACGACCCAGAGUUCUAUGACCCAAUACAAAGAAACAGAGUCGCAGAAGAAGAAAAAUAAAAUAAAUGAUAACACUGCAAUGCUAAUUGAAAUGACCCAGAGUUCUAUGACCCAAUACACAGAAACAGAGUCGAAGAAGAAGAAGAAAAUAAAUGAUAACACUGCAAUGCUAAUUGAAACGACCCAGAGUUCUAUGACCCAAUACACAGAAACAGAUUCACAGAAGAAGAAGAAGAAGAAGAAGAAGAAGAAAAUAAAUAGAAAAACAAACAAGGAAUCAGUUGCCCCGAAGCACACAGAUGGAAGACAGACCGGGGAGAUGUCAGAGGCGACGUCAGGCUGUCUGCCUUUACCACAGAUUAAUCCUGAUCCUGUAUCAAUCUCCCAUGAAUUUGUUUCAUCAGCAGAGAAGAAAAAUAAGAAAAAUAAGAAAAAUAAGCAUGGAAAAGACAAGAGGAUGAUGUAUGUAUGAUGCAUAUCAGGAUUACCUCGCAACCGAACACAUUGACACAGUGGUGAUGUCAUGAAGCAUGCCAUCUGAAUAAAACAACCCAUAGCUUGGAGAGGAUUUUUGAUGGGUGGCCUUUGGUUAUAAGGGAACAGAUUUUUAAAUGAGUAGAUUCAUUGUACACCACCCCUAUGAUGGUUGUUCUUCCACUCUUUAGAGACACUUGUAUGUGCAUUCAGAUG
ensembl:lncRNA